AUGGAACGCAUGGCGAGCUCAUAUUUUCAGGAAGUGUUCACCAAAGAUGAGACACUUACACCUACGGAUGUGCUUGAAGGUAUAGCUCCUAAAGUGACACAGGGAAUGAAUGAUAUGUUGUGUGGGCCGUUUUCAGAGGAGGAAGUGUCUAAUGCCCUGUUUCAGAUCGGCCUGAUCAAAGCGCCGGGCACGGAUGGCUUGCCGGCUAGGUUCUUCCAGCGCAACUGGGUUGUUCUGAAGACAGAGAUUAUUACUGCAGUUUGGACUUCUUUAAGUCAGGAAAUAUGCCAGAGGGAGUGA
rnacentral:rRNA from 1 species